GCAGCAGGCGCGAAACCUUUACACUGCACGCAAGUGCGAUAGGGGACACCGAGUGCGAGGGCAUAGAGCCCUCGCUUUUGUGCAUCGUAAGGUGGUACACGAAUAAGGGCUGGGCAAGACCGGUGCCAGCCGCCGCGGUAACACCGGCAGCCCGAGUGAUGGCCGCUUUUAUUGGGCCUAAAGCGUCCGUAGCCGGCCGUUCAGGUCCGUCGGGAAAUCCACUGGCUCAACCAGUGGGCGUCCGGCGGAAACCGAUCGGCUUGGGACAGGGAGACCAGAGGGGUACGUCCGGGGUAGGAGUGAAAUCCUGUAAUCCUGGACGGACCACCGGUGGCGAAAGCGCCUCUGGAGAACUGAUCCGACGGUGAGGGACGAAAGCUGGGGUCUCGAACCGGAUUAGAUACCCGGGUAGUCCCAGCUGUAAACAAUGCUCGCUAGGUGUGUCGCAGGCUACGAGCCUGCGAUGUGCCGUAGGGAAGCCGAGAAGCGAGCC
rnacentral:rRNA from 1 species